CAGGACACGCUGGCGGCGUGCCUAACACAUGCAAGUCGAACGGAACGAAAAGAGCUUGCUCUUGGCGUUUAGUGGCGGACGGGUGAGUAACACGUGAGUAACCUGCCGUUUCAGAGGGGGAAUAAUGUCUGGAAAACGGACACUAAAUACCGCAUAAAAUAUUUUUAAACCGCAUGAUUGAAAUAUCAAAGGAGCAAUCCGCUGAAAGAUGGACUCGCGUCUGAUUAGCCAGUUGGCGGGGUAACGGCCCACCAAAGCGACGAUCAGUAGCCGGACUGAGAGGUUGAACGGCCACAUUGGGACUGAGACACGGCCCAGACUCCUACGGGAGGCAGCAGUGGGGGAUAUUGCACAAUGGGCGCAAGCCUGAUGCAGACCAACGCCGCGUGCAGGAAGACGGUUCUUCGGAUUGUAAACUGUUGUCCUCUGUGACGAUAAUGACGGUAGCAGAGGAGGAAGCCACGGCUAACUACGUGCCAGCAGCCGC
rnacentral:rRNA from 1 species